rnacentral:rRNA from 1 species
GAUGAACGCUGGCGGCGUGCCUAAUACAUGCAAGUCGAGCGAACGGACGAGAAGCUUGCUUCUCUGAUGUUAGCGGCGGACGGGUGAGUAACACGUGGAUAACCUACCUAUAAGACUGGGAUAACUUCGGGAAACCGGAGCUAAUACCGGAUAAUAUUUUGAACCGCAUGGUUCAAAAGUGAAAGACGGUCUUGCUGUCACUUAUAGAUGGAUCCGCGCUGCAUUAGCUAGUUGGUAAGGUAACGGCUUACCAAGGCAACGAUGCAUAGCCGACCUGAGAGGGUGAUCGGCCACACUGGAACUGAGACACGGUCCAGACUCCUACGGGAGGCAGCAGUAGGGAAUCUUCCGCAAUGGGCGAAAGCCUGACGGAGCAACGCCGCGUGAGUGAUGAAGGUCUUCGGAUCGUAAAACUCUGUUAUUAGGGAAGAACAUAUGUGUAAGUAACUGUGCACAUCUUGACGGUACCUAAUCAGAAAGCCACGGCUAACUACGUGCCAGCAGCCGCGGUAAUACGUANGUGGCAAGCGUUAUCCGGAAUUAUUGGGCGUAAAGCGCGCGUAGGCGGUUUUUUAAGUCUGAUGCGAAAGCCCACGGCUCAACCGUGGAGGGUCAUUGGAAACUGGAAAACUUGAGUGCAGAAGAGGAAAGUGGAAUUCCAUGUGUAGCGGUGAAAUGCGCAGAGAUAUGGAGGAACACCAGUGGCGAAGGCGACUUUCUGGUCUGUAACUGACGCUGAUGUGCGAAAGCGUGGGGAUCAAACAGGAUUAGAUACCCUGGUAGUCCACGCCGUAAACGAUGAGUGCUAAGUGUUAGGGGGUUUCCGCCCCUUAGUGCUGCAGCUAACGCAUUAAGCACUCCGCCUGGGGAGUACGACCGCAAGGUUGAAACUCAAAGGAAUUGACGGGGACCCGCACAAGCGGUGGAGCAUGUGGUUUAAUUCGAAGCAACGCGAAGAACCUUACCAAAUCUUGACAUCCUUUGACAACUCUAGAGAUAGAGCUUUCCCCUUCGGGGGACAAAGUGACAGGUGGUGCAUGGUUGUCGUCAGCUCGUGUCGUGAGAUGUUGGGUUAAGUCCCGCAACGAGCGCAACCCUUAAGCUUAGUUGCCAUCAUUAAGUUGGGCACUCUAAGUUGACUGCCGGUGACAAACCGGAGGAAGGUGGGGAUGACGUCAAAUCAUCAUGCCCCUUAUGAUUUGGGCUACACACGUGCUACAAUGGACAAUACAAAGGGCAGCGAAACCGUGAGGUCAAGCAAAUCCCAUAAAGUUGUUCUCAGUUCGGAUUGUAGUCUGCAACCCGACUACAUGAAGCUGGAAUCGCUAGUAAUCGUAGAUCAGCAUGCUACGGUGAAUACGUUCCCGGGUCU